rnacentral:rRNA from 1 species
GAUGAACGCUGGCGGCGUGCCUAAUACAUGCAAGUCGAGCGAACAGAUAAGGAGCUUGCUCCUUUGACGUUAGCGGCGGACGGGUGAGUAACACGUGGGUAACCUACCUAUAAGACUGGGAUAACUUCGGGAAACCGGAGCUAAUACCGGAUAACAUUUGGAACCGCAUGGUUCUAAAGUGAAAGAUGGUUUUGCUAUCACUUAUAGAUGGACCCGCGCCGUAUUAGCUAGUUGGUAAGGUAACGGCUUACCAAGGCAACGAUCCGUAGCCGACCUGAGAGGGUGAUCGGCCACACUGGAACUGAGACACGGUCCAGACUCCUACGGGAGGCAGCAGUAGGGAAUCUUCCGCAAUGGGCGAAAGCCUGACGGAGCAACGCCGCGUGAGUGAUGAAGGGUUUCGGCUCGUAAAACUCUGUUAUUAGGGAAGAACAAAUGUGUAAGUAACUGUGCACGUCUUGACGGUACCUAAUCAGAAAGCCACGGCUAACUACGUG